rnacentral:rRNA from 1 species
AAACCGACGAUCAGUAGGGGUUCUGAGAGGAAGGUCCCCCACAUUGGAACUGAGACACGGUCCAAACUCCUACGGGAGGCAGCAGUGAGGAAUAUUGGUCAAUGGGCGGAAGCCUGAACCAGCCAAGUAGCGUGCAGGAUGACGGCCCUAUGGGUUGUAAACUGCUUUUGAAGGGGAGUAAAGUGAGUGACUUGUCAUUCAUUGCAAGUACCCUUGGAAUAAGGACCGGCUAAUUCCGUGCCAGCAGCCGCGGUAAUACGGAAGGUCCGGGCGUUAUCCGGAUUUAUUGGGUUUAAAGGG